CAGAUACAGUAGGAGCUUAGCACAUGUGGAAUGAACGGAUUUGUUCUUCCGGAUCAACGGUUACAAACUGGAAUGGCUUCAAGGCUGAACCAGCUGACCCCUGGCUCCCCAGAUGUCUGCACAGCACCGGAGCUCAGCAAAUGUCCCACCAGGAGAAAUGAUCCCUGCAUCCGAACCCUCUCGAGCUGCC
rnacentral:lncRNA from 1 species